AGCGAACGCUGGCGGCAGGCUUAACACAUGCAAGUCGAGCGGGCAUCUUCGGAUGUCAGCGGCAGACGGGUGAGUAACACGUGGGAACGUACCCUUCGGUUCGGAACAACUCUGGGAAACUGGAGCUAAUACCGGAUACGCCCUUAUGGGGAAAGGUUUACUGCCGAAGGAUCGGCCCGCGUCUGAUUAGCUAGUUGGUGGGGUAACGGCCUACCAAGGCGACGAUCAGUAGCUGGUCUGAGAGGAUGAUCAGCCACACUGGGACUGAGACACGGCCCAGACUCCUACGGGAGGCGGCAGUGGGGGAUAUUGGACAAUGGGCGCAAGCCUGAUCCAGCCAUGCCGCGUGAGUGAUGAAGGCCUUAGGGUUGUAAAGCUCUUUUGUCCGGGACGAUAAUGACGGUACCGGAAGAAUAAGCCCCGGCUAACUUCGUG
rnacentral:rRNA from 1 species